CAAGUCGAGCGGCAGCGCGGGGCAACCUGGCGGCGAGCGGCGAACGGGUGAGUAAUGCAUCGGAACAUGUCCAAGUCGUGGGGGAUAGCCCGGCGAAAGCCGGAUUAAUACCGCAUGUGCCCGAGAGGGGAAAGUGGGGGACCGCAAGGCCUCACGCGAUUGGGUUGGCCGAUGUCCGAUUAGCUAGUUGGCGGGGUAAGAGCCCACCAAGGCGAUGAUCGGUAGCUGGUCUGAGAGGAUGAUCAGCCACACUGGGACUGAGACACGGCCCAGACUCCUACGGGAGGCAGCAGUGGGGAAUUUUGGACAAUGGGGGAAACCCUGAUCCAGCCAUUCCGCGUGAGUGAAGAAGGCCUUCGGGUUGUAAAGCUCUUUUGUCCGGAGCGAAACGGUUAGGGUGAAUAUCCCUGACUACUGACGGUACCGGAAGAAUAAGCACCGGCUAACUACGUGCCAGCAGCCGCGGUAAUACGUAGGGUGCGAGCGUUAAUCGGAAUUACUGGGCGUAAAGCGUGCGCAGGCGGUUUUGUAAGCCAGAUGUGAAAUCCCCGGGCUUAACCUGGGAAUGGCAUUUGGGACUGCAAGGCUGGAGUUUGGCAGAGGAGACUGGAAUUCCUGGUGUAGCAGUGAAAUGCGUAGAUAUCAGGAGGAAUACCGAUGGCGAAGGCAGGUCUCUGGGCUAUAACUGACGCUCAUGCACGAAAGCGUGGGGAGCAAACAGGAUUAGAUACCCUGGUAGUCCACGCCCUAAACGAUGUCGACUGGUUGUUGGGGGGUUUGACACUCUCAGUAACGAAGCUAACGCGUGAAGUCGACCGCCUGGGGAGUACGGCCGCAAGGUUAAAACUCAAAGGAAUUGACGGGGACCCGC
rnacentral:rRNA from 1 species